rnacentral:rRNA from 1 species
UUAAGCGACUAAGCGUACACGGUGGAUGCCCUGGCAGUCAGAGGCGAUGAAGGACGUGCUAAUCUGCGAAAAGCGUCGGUAAGGUGAUAUGAACCGUUACAGCCGGCGAUGUCCGAAUGGGGAAACCCAGUGNCACUAUCGUUAACUGAAUACAUAGGUUAACGAGGCGAACCGGGGGAACUGAAACAUCUAAGUACCCCGAGGAAAAGAAAUCAACCGAGAUUCCCCCAGUAGCGGCGAGCGAACGGGGAGCAGCCCAGAGUCUGAAUCAGCUUGUGUGUUAGUGGAACGGUCUGGAAAGUCCGACGGUACAGGGUGAUAGUCCCGUACACCAAAAUGCACAGGCUGUGAACUCGAAGAGUAGGGCGGGACACGUGGUAUCCUGUCUGAAUAUGGGGGGACCAUCCUCCAAGGCUAAAUACUCCUGACUGACCGAUAGUGAACCAGUACCGUGAGGGAAAGGCGAAAAGAACCCCGGCGAGGGGAGUGAAAAAGAACCUGAAACCGUGUACGUACAAGCAGUGGGAGCACCUUCGGGUGUGACUGCGUACCUUUUGUAUAAUGGGUCAGCGACUUAUAUUCUGUAGCAAGGUUAACCGUAUAGGGGAGCCGCAGGGAAACCGAGUCUUAACUGGGCGUUAAGUUGCAGGGUAUAGACCCGAAACCCGGUGAUCUAGCCAUGGGCAGGUUGAAGGUUGGGUAACACUAACUGGAGGACCGAACCGACUAAUGUUGAAAAAUUAGCGGAUGACUUGUGGCUGGGGGUGAAAGGCCAAUCAAACCGGGAGAUAGCUGGUUCUCCCCGAAAGCUAUUUAGGUAGCGCCUCGUGAACUCAUCUUCGGGGGUAGAGCACUGUUUCGGCUAGGGGGUCAUCCCGACUUACCAACCCGAUGCAAACUACGAAUACCGAAGAAUGUUAUCACGGGAGACACACGGCGGGUGCUAACGUCCGUCGUGAAGAGGGAAACAACCCAGACCGCCAGCUAAGGUCCCAAAGUCAUGGUUAAGUGGGAAACGAUGUGGGAAGGCACAGACAGCCAGGAUGUUGGCUUAGAAGCAGCCAUCAUUUAAAGAAAGCGUAAUAGCUCACUGGUCGAGUCGGCCUGCGCGGAAGAUGUAACGGGGCUAAACCAUGCACCGAAGCUGCGGCAGCGACACUAUGUGUUGUUGGGUAGGGGAGCGUUCUGUAAGCCUGUGAAGGUGUGCUGUGAGGCAUGCUGGAGGUAUCAGAAGUGCGAAUGCUGACAUAAGUAACGAUAAAGCGGGUGAAAAGCCCGCUCGCCGGAAGACCAAGGGUUCCUGUCCAACGUUAAUCGGGGCAGGGUGAGUCGACCCCUAAGGCGAGGCCGAAAGGCGUAGUCGAUGGGAAACAGGUUAAUAUUCCUGUACUUGGUGUUACUGCGAAGGGGGGACGGAGAAGGCUAUGUUAGCCGGGCGACGGUUGUCCCGGUUUAAGCAUGUAGGCUGGUUGUCCAGGCAAAUCCGGAUAAUCAAGGCUGAGGUGUAAUGACGAGGCACUACGGUGCUGAAGUAACAAAUGCCCUGCUUCCAGGAAAAGCCUCUAAGCAUCAGGUAACAUCAAAUCGUACCCCAAACCGACACAGGUGGUCAGGUAGAGAAUACCAAGGCGCUUGAGAGAACUCGGGUGAAGGAACUAGGCAAAAUGGUGCCGUAACUUCGGGAGAAGGCACGCUGGUGUGUAGGUGAAGCCCCUGCGGGUGGAGCUGAGACCAGUCGAAGAUACCAGCUGGCUGCAACUGUUUAUUAAAAACACAGCACUGUGCAAACACGAAAGUGGACGUAUACGGUGUGACGCCUGCCCGGUGCCGGAAGGUUAAUUGAUGGGGUUAUCCGUAAGGAGAAGCUCUUGAUCGAAGCCCCGGUAAACGGCGGCCGUAACUAUAACGGUCCUAAGGUAGCGAAAUUCCUUGUCGGGUAAGUUCCGACCUGCACGAAUGGCGUAAUGAUGGCCAGGCUGUCUCCACCCGAGACUCAGUGAAAUUGAACUCGCUGUGAAGAUGCAGUGUACCCGCGGCAAGACGGAAAGACCCCGUGAACCUUUACUAUAGCUUGACACUGAACAUUGAGCCUUGAUGUGUAGGAUAGGUGGGAGGCUUUGAAGCGUGGACGCCAGUCUGCGUGGAGCCAACCUUGAAAUACCACCCUUUAAUGUUUGAUGUUCUAACGUUGGCCCCUGACCGGGGUUGCGGACAGUGUCUGGUGGGUAGUUUGACUGGGGCGGUCUCCUCCCAAAGCGUAACGGAGGAGCACGAAGGUUAGCUAAUCCUGGUCGGACAUCAGGAGGUUAGUGCAAUGGCAUAAGCUAGCUUGACUGCGAGCGUGACGGCGCGAGCAGGUGCGAAAGCAGGUCAUAGUGAUCCGGUGGUUCUGAAUGGAAGGGCCAUCGCUCAACGGAUAAAAGGUACUCCGGGGAUAACAGGCUGAUACCGCCCAAGAGUUCAUAUCGACGGCGGUGUUUGGCACCUCGAUGUCGGCUCAUCACAUCCUGGGGCUGAAGUAGGUCCCAAGGGUAUGGCUGUUCGCCAUUUAAAGUGGUACGCGAGCUGGGUUUAGAACGUCGUGAGACAGUUCGGUCCCUAUCUGCCGUGGGCGCUGGAGAAUUGAGGGGGGCUGCUCCUAGUACGAGAGGACCGGAGUGGACGCAUCACUGGUGUUCGGGUUGUCAUGCCAAUGGCACUGCCCGGUAGCUAAAUGCGGAAGAGAUAAGUGCUGAAAGCAUCUAAGCACGAAACUUGCCCCGAGAUGAGUUCUCCCUGAGACUUUAAGUCUCCUGAAGGAACGUUGAAGACGACGACGUUGAUAGGCCGGGUGUGUAAGCGCAGCGAUGCGUUGAGCUAACCGGUACUAAUGAACCGUGAGGCUUAACCUU